rnacentral:tRNA from 1 species
AGAGAGUUAGUCUAAAAAAGACAGUUGAUUUCGACUCAACAAAUCAUAGCCCCAACUCUAUGACCCUCUU